UGGGGAAUAUUGCACAAUGGGCGCAAGCCUGAUGCAGCCAUGCCGCGUGUAUGAAGAAGGCCUUCGGGUUGUAAAGUACUUUCAGCGGGGAGGAAGGGAGUAAAGUUAAUACCUUUGCUCAUUGACGUUACCCGCAGAAGAAGCACCGGCUAACUCCGUGCCAGCAGCCGCGGUAAUACGGAGGGUGCAAGCGUUAAUCGGAAUUACUGGGCGUAAAGCGCACGCAGGUGGUUUGUUAAGUCAGAUGUGAAAUCCCCGGGCUCAACCUGGGAACUGCAUCUGAUACUGGCAAGCUUGAGUCUCGUAGAGGGGGGUAGAAUUCCAGGUGUAGCGGUGAAAUGCGUAGAGAUCUGGAGGAAUACCGGUGGCGAAGGCGGCCCCCUGGACGAAGACUGACGCUCAGGUGCGAAAGCGUGGGGAGCAAACAGG
rnacentral:rRNA from 1 species